rnacentral:lncRNA from 1 species
GCAUGUGCAGAUGAAUUUAUAUAUUCAACAGAAUCAUUCCCGAACAGCGAAAAUUGUUAGCUGCUCCAAUUGUUACAAUUUUCCAUCAAAAUACAGUUUAAAAUACAGAACAAGGGAAAUAUUUCUGAAAAAGAGAUUGCAGAGUUAAUGCUGAGCUAAGUGUUCAUUUACAACCUCUAGCAUUCAGAUCACAGCAUCCACAUCUCCCUAGCAAGGUGGACUUUUUCUUCCAUCUACCGAACUUAUACCUGUAAGCCCUAACAUAGGAGUUGUUAUCUGUCUCAAAGGGGCAAAAAAAAAAAACAAAACAAAAAAUCAUAAACAGUCAAACAAACAAACAGACAGACAGACAGUGUGUCUGGCUCUCUGCAUACAUUCAACCUCUUCCUUAACAGCUUAGGCAGCCAACACAACAUUGCUUCUUAGAUUCAGCUACGUGAAUUAAACAGUGUUUACGAUUGUGUUCUAUUUCAUCAUACUUCUGUGACUUGGCAGCUUUCAAUGUGUCUGUCAAUGUUACUGAAGAAUCCAUUAUACUACCUCCAACAAAAGACAGAAGUAAGUGCUAAUUCUUGACUUCUACUUCUCUUUUCUGAGUGCCGCUUUCAUUCUAAACACAUGUCUGUUUAAGCAAAUUAUCCCUUGCAUAUGAACAUCAUUCUUACAAAAGGCACACCUCAGGCUAAAGUAUAUCUCAGAUGUACUGCCCUAGAUUAGGUGCUACUACCAAACAAUACUAAUGAGCAAUCCACAUUGUUUACUAUGUUAGAGACCUACCUGUGUUGUGCAGAUGUUACCAUGCUCUUAUGUGUUAUUCACGGAUACCCUUUGUGUCAAUUAAGAUGCAGAUAUUUUUCAACCACCAAAUGCAGCUGAUAUGCGUAAUUAACUGUUAAGCUCCUGCUUACCAUAUCAAAGCAUAGGCACUUGUUGAAAUCAUCAAGAGAAAGGCUUUAGAAGGUAAUUUCAUGUUAGGAUGCAACCUAUAGCCUGAAGCCCUUUGGAAUGUUUCCUAAACAGAUUAAAUUCCUAAUUAUAACUACAGACCAUUUCCCAAGAAUUGAAAUACUAUAAUUUUUGUGUGAAAAUUGCUCACUAAUGCAUGGUAAAUUUUUAUAACUCUUCUGUCUUUUUCUUCUUUUCUAUCUCUUCUACUCUAUCCUUUUCUCCAUCUCUUUAUCCAUGAAAACAUGGCCAACUACCUCAUAUCAUUCACAAUUUUCUAAAAAGUGUUUUAAACAUCAUAAUAUUUUAUCCAGGCCAUUUUCUAGUGUUCUGUGGCUCUUCGGAGUUUGGAAUUCUUCAUGGUUUUUAACGGUAUCAUUUUGAAGGAUGACAUGUCUUCAGAACACUCUGAAUAUCAGAGUCCUAUGCUAGCAUAGAUGUCUUUCAGCUUAUUGUGAAAUUUCUUUAACUGCAGUAGAUAAACUACAACACGAAGAAAUAUGUGUCCUUCGUGGAGUUGGGCAUUGGAUCACUGUGAUUUAUAGACCACAGUCACAAUAUAGAAUUUUGUAGACACCAUAGGGGAAAUUUCCCUAAAACUCACCAUUAGCAUCACUGUCUUCCUCCUAUCUAACAAAAAUGUCAAUGGUAAAAUUAUUCUUUUCUGGAAUUUUCUGAUGGAAACAUCUCAAGGUCUUUAGGUAUGUUACAUAUGUAAGACUCACACUAACUUCAAAGUUCUACUUCUCACUGAUUUCCCCUUACAUAUAUCUAGUUUUCAUCAUUUUAAAAGUAUUAUUUAACUGAAAUAAUAUAUUUACCUUUUAAGUUUGUUUUUAAUUUUUAAAAUUAUUUGUAAUCCUUUGAGAAUUUAAUAUAAAAUGUUUUAACACAUUUUUAUUAGAUAUUUAAUCAUAUUAAUUACUCACUCUUCCCAUCAGCUCCUCCAAGAUCUGCAUUUACCUUUCAGGUUUUUACUUUUUAUUAAAUGACUCAUGUUGUGUUGUACAAUUUAUGCUGCCUGUAUACUCCUGGGUAUGUGAUCAUACAUUGGAAUAUUGCUGACCUACCAGGGAAAGAAAAUUCUCUCUUCCUCUCCCAGAAGACACCAAUUGUUCAUAGUGCCUCAGUUAGGUUGAAGACUCAUGCUAUCGUUUUGACGUAAUUGAUUAUGUCUCUGUGUGCUUUGCAGGCAAAAACAGCUGCUGUAAGCUCAUGAGUGGAGGGGUCCUGUCAGGCUUAGAAGAUACUUUUUGCUCUGGUCUUUCCAACUUCUGUCUCUUUUGAUCUUUCCACCCUGUUUUUCACAGUGAUCCAUGAGCCUUUGAGGUGUAUAAUGACCAUGACCAUUUGUGGCCAGAUGUAGAGUGCCUAGGAUGUCUUUCUGACUGUGGAGUAUGCUUCAGAUCCAAUCAGAAUGGCACUGGCUACACACAUUACAUAUGUUGUGUUGUGUUGACAGUUCACAGGGUUCAGAGCUUGUGUAAGUCUUUGAUGACUUUUCCUCCCAGCAGAUUACAUGGCCCCUUCCAUAACCAUGAAAGCUAAGCCUCAAAGAGGGCUCUCCCAAGAAAUAACAACCCAAUUUUUCCACAUCCUAUGCUAUGGUGUAUGGUGUCAAGAUUAUAAGAACACAAGAAAAGAAAAACUGGAGCAGAUGUAAGUAACG